rnacentral:lncRNA from 1 species
GGGCCCUAGGAGGAAGCUUGUCUCCGGGGUGUGGGGACUGUAUCUGGAUCUCCAGCCUCCUGGCAGCAAUUCCGAGAGGCGAGAAGAAGUGUGGCUUGGCCCAGGCUGUGCAGAAAAUCCGAGGGUCGAGUGACAUCUUGUUCGAGCGGAUCUGGCUCCGGACUACAUUUCCCAGACACCCUGGCGGGCAUAGGGCUGACCCUUCACUCGCCUGCGGGACCCUAGGCCUCCGGGGAAGGGGAAGUGCAAGCUCUGCUUUUCUCAGAGAGGUCCCCAGAGGAGAAGGAGGAAUGGCUGUUGACCAAGCCAAAUACAAGGUGUGCUGGGGUUUCCUUGUUGCUUUAUAAGUACCCUGGUGCACCUAUGCAUGCUUUCCUAGGGUAUAAACAUACCAAUGGAAUUGCUGGGCCAUAAGAUACGUGUGUAUUUUCAAAUUUCCUAGAUAAUGCCGGACUGAUUUUCAAUAUGGUUGUACCAGUUAAAUUCUUACCAGCAGAUUAUAAGCAUAGUCAUCCUGUAUUCUAAUACUUGGUCACUUGGUAUUUUAAUUUUUGAUGACUCUUCUCAUAUAUCACAUGGUUUUAAAAGUAUAACAUACUUUCCAAAAAGUACAGAAAUGAAAGUAUAUGACUUGAUGAAUUUUAGAAAAUGAGCAUACUUGCUUAAUCAGAGCUCAAAUCAGAUCAGGAAGUAGAACAUUACCAGCAUUCUAGAAGCCCUAUUCUUGUUCCAUCCACUCACUAUCCACCUCUCCCGAAGAUAACAAUUAUUCUGUUUUCUAUAGCCAUAGAUUAAUUUUACCUGUUCUUGAAUUUUAUAUAAGUAGAAUCACACAAUAUCCACUCUUUUGUGCUUGACUUCUUUUUAUUCAUCAUUACAUUUUACAUGUAAUAUGAAUGUACUACUUAAUAAUAUUAUGUAGUAUGAAUAUGUGAGACUCAUCCAUGUUGCUUCAUGUAGUAUAGGUCAGUUAUUAUUGUUGUUGCUUAAAAUUUCAUUGUAUGAACAUACCACAAUUUAUUUAUCCUUUCCAUUAUCUAUUGGUAUUUAAGCUGUUUUCAGAUCGGACCUAUUAUGAGCAAGGCUGCUAUGAACAUUCUUGCACAUGUCUUUUGGUGCACAUAUGAAUGCAUUUCUGUUGGGUAUAUCCCUAGGAGUGAAAUUUCUGUGGCAUAGGUUAUGCAAAUAUUCAGCUUUAAUAUAUACUGACAGUUUUUCUAAAUAGUAUCAAUUUACACUCCUGACUCACUCUCAUUGUAUGGGAAUUAGACUGUGGGACAAGAAGCUUUACUAGAGAUAAAGAACAAUAGUUCAUAAUAAAAAGGUUAGACUACUAGUAAGAUAUUACAGUUCUAAAUACAUAGACCUUCAUAAAAUGACUUCAAGUAUAUUUGAUGGAAGUAAAAGAAGUAGUAGACAAAUCACAAUCAUAGUGGGGGAUUUUUAGCACUUGUUUCAAUAGCUGAUAGAACAAUCAAUAGAAACUGAGUAAAGCUAUAUAAUAUUUGGGCAGUGU